ACAGGUGCUGCAUGGCUGUCGUCAGCUCGUGUCGUGAGAUGUUGGGUUAAGUCCCGCAACGAGCGCAACCCUUGUCAUUAGUUGCUACAUUCAGUUGGGCACUCUAAUGAGACUGCCGGUGACAAACCGGAGGAAGGUGGGGAUGACGUCAAGUCCUCAUGGCCCUUAUAGGUGGGGCUACACACGUCAUACAAUGGCCGGUACAAAGGGUCGCAAACCCGCAGGGGGAGCCAAUCCAUCAAAGCCGGUCGUAGUCCGGAUCGCAGUCUGCAACUCGACUGCGUGAAGUCGGAAUCGCUAGUAAUCGUGGAUCAGCAUGUCACGGUGAAUACGUUCCCGGGUCUU
rnacentral:rRNA from 1 species